rnacentral:rRNA from 1 species
UACAGAGGGGGCAAGCGUUGUUCGGAAUUACUGGGCGUAAAGGGCGCGUAGGCGGCCUGUUAAGUCGAACGUGAAAUCCCCGGGCUCAACCCGGGAACUGCGUCCGAUACUGGCAGGCUUGAAUUCGGGAGAGGGAUGUGGAAUUCCAGGUGUAGCGGUGAAAUGCGUAGAUAUCUGGAGGAACACCGGUGGCGAAGGCGGCAUCCUGGACCGAUAUUGACGCUGAUGCGCGGAAGCCAGGGGAGCAAACGGG